rnacentral:rRNA from 1 species
CCUACGAGUGGCAGCAGUGGGGAAUAUUGCACAAUGGGGGAAACCCUGAUGCAGCGACGCCGCAUGAGUGAAGAAGUAAUUCGUUAUGUAAAGCUCUAUCAGCAGGGAAGAAAAUGACGGUACCUGAGUAAGAAGCCCAGGCUAAAUACGUGCAAGCAGCCGCGGUAAUACGUAGGGGGCAAGCGUUAUCCGGAUUAACUGGGUGUAAAGGGAGCGUAGACGGCAGUGCAAGUCUGGAGUGAAAGGCGGGGGCGCAACCCCCGGACUGCUCUGGAAACUGUGCGGCUGGAGUGCAGGAGAGAGAAGUAGAAUUCCUAGUGUAGCGGUGAAAUGCGUAGAUAUUAGGAGGAACACCAGUGGCGAAGGCAGCUUACUGGACUGGAACUGACGUUGAGGCUCGAAAGCGUGGGGAGCAAACAGGAUUAGAUACCCUUGUAGUC